rnacentral:sRNA from 1 species
GAGGAACGGCACAUGACCCAGGCCUAUGCCAAUCAGCAUUUCACAUUCCUCAUGAUUGGUUCAAAGCUCCCACAGGCCCAUUCUGGUGACUCAUGACUUGUAUACACAGAACAACAGAGAAAAGAAAAAUAGAAUUAGAUAAACAAGCAGGGGCAACAGUGAGGGCUAUGUCUUACAAAGAACCAUUUUUAAUUGAAUUCUUUUUCUCUCUUGAAAUUCUUUUUUUUUCCCUCAAAAGUGGGAAAAAAUUCUCAAAUAACAACAGCAAACCAAGAAAGCAGCUUAGUCUGCACUGCAUUUGCAUUUCUUAGUUUCAUUCCCUAUUCAAAAAUGUCUUAGGCAAAUGUGUUUUGACAGUGGGAAUGAACAUGCACUUUAAAAUUAUGGGACCUAGUAGAUUUAAUGGAAUGAGCCCUGGAUUGGGAGCCAGGGGACCUGGCUUUGAAUGGUCCCAACCCAGGCACUUAUUUACCUUAGUUUCUUGACUUAUAAAAUUAAACACACCAUCUACUGAUGAAUGGAUAAACAAAAUAUAAUAUAUCCACAGAAGGGAAUCUUGUUCAGCCAUAAGAAGGAAUGAAGUAUGGACAUGUGCUAUAAUGUGGAUGUGCCUUAAAGACAUUAUGCUAAGUGAAAGAAGCCAGACACAAAGACCAUACAUUUCACGAUUCCACUUACAUGAAAUGUGCAGAAUAGCUAAAUCUAAGGACAUAAAGUAGGUUAGCUAAUGGGUACAGGUUUCUUUCUGGGUUGAUGAAAUGUUUCAAAAUUGAUUGUGCUGAUGGUUGUAUUUAAAACGCUGCAUAUACUGAAAACCAUUUAAUUGUACAUUUUAAAUGAGUGAAUUUUAUGAUAUGUGAAUUAUAUCUCAAUAAAGUUGUUCAAAAAAAAGAGAAAAAAAUGAACAGUGAUUUCUACCCAGCCCAGAUAUGUUGUGAGGCUCAAAUGAAUUGUUUUUACAAAUAAGAAAACCACUUAAAACUAUACAAUGAAAAUUAUUUUUAAACUUAAUUAUUUCUUAAAUUCAAGGCUGAUGUACUAAAGGAAUUUUUCCAGUGACAACU